rnacentral:rRNA from 1 species
CCCCGUACACAAAAGCGCAUGUGCUGUGAGCUCGAUGAGUAGGGCGGGACACGUGGUAUCCUGUCUGAAUAUGGGGGGACCAUCCUCCAAGGCUAAAUACUCCUGACUGACCGAUAGUGAACCAGUACCGUGAGGGAAAGGCGAAAAGAACCCCGGCGAGGGGAGUGAAAAAGAACCUGAAACCGUGUACGUACAAGCAGUGGGAGCACAGGUUUACCUGUGUGACUGCGUACCUUUUGUAUAAUGGGUCAGCGACUUAUAUUCUGUAGCAAGGUUAACCGAAUAGGGGAGCCGGAGGGAAACCGAGUCUUAAUUGGGCGUUAAGUUGCAGGGUAUAGACCCGAAACCCGGUGAUCUAGCCAUGGGCAGGUUGAAGGUUGGGUAACACUAACUGGAGGACCGAACCGACUAAUGUUGAAAAAUUAGCGGAUGACCUGUGGCUGGGGGUGAAAGGCCAAUCAAACCGGGAGAUAGCUGGUUCUCCCCGAAAGCUAUUUAGGUAGCGCCUCGUGAAUUCAUCUCCGGGGGUAGAGCACUGUUUCGGCUAGGGGGCCAUCCCGGCUUACCAACCCGAUGCAAACUGCGAAUACCGGAGAAUGUUAUCACGGGAGACACACGGCGGGUGCUAACGUCCGUCGUGAAGAGGGAAACAACCCAGACCGCCAGCUAAGGUCCCAAAGUCAUGGUUAAGUGGGAAACGAUGUGGGAAGGCCCAGACAGCCAGGAUGUUGGCUUAGAAGCAGCCAUCAUUUAAAGAAAGCGUAAUAGCUCACUGGUCGAGUCGGCCUGCGCGGAAGAUGUAACGGGGCUAAACCAU